GCAUUAGUGGUUCAGUGGUAGGAUUCUCACCUUCCAUGCAGGAGACCUGGGUUCAAGUCCCAGCCAAGGCA
rnacentral:tRNA from 1 species